rnacentral:rRNA from 1 species
UACGUAGGGUGCAAGCGUUGUCCGGAUUCAUUGGGCGUAAAGAGCGUGUAGGCGGCCAGGUAGGUCGGUUGUGAAAACUGGAGGCUCAACCUUCAGAGGUCGACCGAAACCAUCUGGCUAGAGUCCGGGAGAGGAGAGUGGAAUUCCUGGUGUAGCGGUGAAAUGCGCAGAUAUCAGGAAGAACACCCGUGGCGAAAGCGGCUCUCUGGGACGGUACUGACGCUGAGACGCGAAAGCGUGGGGAGCGAACAGG